rnacentral:rRNA from 1 species
GCAUGCCGCGUGUGUGAAGAAGNNCUUCGGGUUGUAAAGCACUUUUGUCCGGAAAGAAAACGNUCUGGUUAAUACCUGGGGCGGAUGACGGUACCGGAAGAAUAAGCACCGGCUAACUACGUGCCAGCAGCCGCGGUAAUACGUAGGGUGCGAGCGUUAAUCGGAAUUACUGGGCGUAAAGCGUGCGCAGGCGGUUUUGUAAGACAGGCGUGAAAUCCCCGAGCUCAACUUGGGAAUUGCGCUUGUGACUGCAAGGCUAGAGUAUGUCAGANGGGGGUAGAAUUCCACGUGUAGCAGUGAAAUGCGUAGAGAUGUGGAGGAAUACCGAUGGCGAAGGCAGCCCCCUGGGACGUCACUGACGCUCAUGCACGAAAGCGUGGGGAGCAAACAGGAUUAGAUACCCUGGUAGUCCACGCCCUAAACGAUGUCAACUAGUUGUUGGGGAUUCAUUUCUUCAGUAACGUAGCUAACGCGUGAAGUUGACCGCCUG